UUUUUGUUCCGCUACAGCAUUCGUUUGUAUUACUUAGCAGAACAUGGCUAACAGGCAACUGCGAAGUGAAGUUUUGAAACGCGCCCUGAAGGCAUGCAUCGUCCAACCGGUAAUAAGAAAAUAUCAGGUAGUAGCCGUUCGUGCGAUGUGGGGAAGUGAUGUUGAUGCCCGCGAGGUCAUUUGGGGCAAGAGAAUGCAGAUGGAGAACAUAUUGCUUAGCAACGAACAAGUAUCCUGUUUUUUUUCUUGUAUUACCUAUAUGGCCAGACCUCGUAAGAGAAAGUCGAUGAGGAAUGAAGGGGAGGAAGAAGAAGGAGCCGACUCUAGCAGUGAAGGUGAUAACAGAAACGGCGCAAAUGCGCCUGAAACAUUUCCUGGCAUUUCUUUCUGGAUCGCGUGCGACUUGCCAAACUGUACCUUAAGUCAAUUUGAAACAAAUUUGUCGAAGUCUUUUAUGCAAGCCGGGUUGAAUUUAACAACGUGCAAUGCUAUACAGACAAGAGGUAAAUACUUGAACCUUUUAGUACUUGAAAUACUGUCAAUGUUUUUCGAAUAUUUUACGCCACAUUUGAUAUUUGUAGGCAAAACCAGUGCAUUGCAAGCAUUCUCAGGAUCGUUAUACCAAGUCUUGAAAGACCACAAUAGGGAAGAAGCAAAACGGAUAGUUGAGAUAUCCCAUCGCACAAUGAUUAGGAGUGCAGCUAGAGAUGAAGGUGUUCAACUUGACCACGUUGCUGUAAUGGAAAGCGAACAGUACUCGAUGAAACCCUGUCAGUUAAUUCUAACAAAAAAUAUUGAUAAAGAGGUAUAUCAAGAUGUAAUUCGUGGUUUAUCCGAAAUCAGAUUUACAUCGCUUGAUUUAAAAGUAAUUGAUAAAUCGGAAGGCACAGAAGUAACUAUUCCCGUUAAGCCAACUAACAAACUUUGUCAAUCCGUGGAUAUAGUUCGAAGGAUGAUGGAGAGGAAUAGCUUUGGGCUGUGCAAUGGAGGUGUAUACAAAAAAAUAGGAGAAAGCAGAUACACAUACGUUUACUGUUGUUCGGUGAAAAGCUAUCUCUAUCGCUCGUUGAAAAACAAAGCAAUCGCCAACGAAAUUACGCCAAAUUUACGAGAGUUGGUAUUUUUGCUGUCGGACGGCGAGUGCCAAAUAAUUGAUCAAAUAACUCUGGAUUACAAUUACAUUGAAUGCUUGCCAAAUGGAGUUUGUUAUAACAUCGCCAAAAAAUGUUUCGAUGUCAAGCCAAAUUUAAAGGGAUCUCCCCGAGCAUUCGUACGGUACUUUCAUCGUGAGGGAAAAAAUCCCGAACCAAAGCCAUUUAUAGAAGGUAAUUGUUUUUACUUUUCUUUUAACGCGUUAAGAAAAUGUGUUUUUUUUCUUUUAACGCGUUGUAACAUAUCAAGGUGGUAGUUGUAACGUGUUGUAACGUAUUGUAACUUGUUGUAACGCAUUGUCAGUGAAAAAAAUGUUUUUUUUUAUCUUUUAACGCGUUGUAACAUAUCAAGGUGGUAGUUGUAACGUGUUGUAACGUAUUGUAACUUGUUGUAACGCAUUGUCAGUGAAGAAAAUGUUUUUUUUUAUCUUUUAACGCGUUGUAACAUAUCAAAGUGGUAGUUGUAACGUGUUGUAACGUAUUGUAACUUGUUGUAACGCAUUGUCAGUGAAGAAAAUGUUUUUUUUUAUCUUUUAACGCGUUGUAACAUAUCAAAGUGGUAGUUGUAACGUGUUGUAACGUAUUGUAACUUGUUGUAACGCAUUGUCAGUGAAGAAAAUGUUUUUUUUUAUCUUUUAACGCGUUGUAACAUAUCAAAGUGGUAGUUGUAACGUGUUGUAACGUAUUGUAACUUGUUGUAACGCAUUGUCAGUGAAGAAAAUGUUUUUUUUUAUCUUUUAACGCGUUGUAACAUAUCAAGGUGGUAGUUGUAACGUGUU